UGCGCAUGGAGGAACUCUGACGCAGCCAUGCCGCGUGCAGGAAUAAGGCCCUAUGGGUUGUAAACUGCUUUUAUACGGGAAGAACUACAUCUACGUGUAGAUGUUUGACGGUACCGUACGAAUAAGGAUCGGCUAACUCCGUGCCAGCAGCCGCGGUAAUACGGAGGAUUCAAGCGUUAUCCGGAUUUAUUGGGUUUAAAGGGUCCGCAGGCGGAAAAUUAAGUCAGUGGUGAAAUCCUACAGCUUAACUGUAGAACUGCCAUUGAUACUGGUUUUCUUGAGUACACCUGAAGUGGGCGGAAUGUGUCAUGUAGCGGUGAAAUGCUUAGAUAUGACACAGAACACCAAUUGCGAAGGCAGCUCACUAAAGUGUAACUGACGCUGAGGGACGAAAGCGUGGGUAGCGAACAGGAUUAGAUACCCUGGUAGUCCACGCCGUAAACGAUGAUCACUAGAUGUUGGCGAUAUAUUGUCAGUAUCUGAGCGAAAGCAUUAAGUGAUCCACCUGGGGAGUACGGUCGCAAGAUUGAAACUCAAAGGAAUUGACGGGGGCCCGCACAAGCGGUGGAGCAUGUGGUUUAAUUCGAUGGUACGCGAGGAACCUUACCUAGGCUUAAAUGUAGAUUGACGUAUUGGGAAACCAAUAUUUCUUCGGACAAUUUACAAGGUGCUGCAUGGUUGUCGUCAGCUCGUGCUGUGAAGUGCCGGGUUAAGUCCCAUAACGAGCGCAACCCCUAUCAUUAGUUGCUAACAUUUAGUUGAGGACUCUAAUGAAACUGCCCGCGUAAGCGUGGAGGAAGGUGGGGAUGACGUCAAAUCAUCACGGCCCUUACGUCUAGGGCUACACACGUGCUACAAUGGUGAAUACAGAGGGAAGCCAGUUGGUAACAACGAGCAAAUCCACAAAAUUCAUCUCAGUUCGGAUUGAGGUCUGCAACUCGACCUCAUGAAGCUGGAAUCGCUAGUAAUCGUAUAUCAGCCAUGAUACGGUGAAUACGUUCCCGGGCCUUGUACACACCGCCCGUCAAGCCAUGGAAGUUGGGAAUACCUGAAGUCGGUAACCGCAAGGAGCUGCCUAAGGUAAAAUCAGUAACUGGGGCUAAGUCGUAACAAGGUAGCCGUACCGGAAGGUGUGGCUGGAAUAUCUCUUUUAU
rnacentral:rRNA from 1 species